AAACUUUCAACAACGGAUCUCUUGGCUCUGGCAUCGAUGAAGAAGGCAGCGAAAUGCGAUACGUAAUGUGAAUUGCAGAAUUUAGUGAAUCAUCGAAUCUUUGAACGCACAUUGCGCCCCUUGGCAUUCCGAGGGGCAUGCCUGUUCGAGCGUC
rnacentral:rRNA from 1 species